rnacentral:rRNA from 1 species
GCUAAACGCGAAGAACCUUACCAACCCUUGACAUGGCGAUCGCGGUUCCAGAGAUGGUUCCUUCAGUUCGGCUGGAUCGCACACAGGUGCUGCAUGGCUGUCGUCAGCUCGUGUCGUGAGAUGUUCGGUUAAGUCCGGCAACGAGCGCAACCCACACUUCUAGUUGCCAGCAUUCAGUUGGGCACUCUAGAAGAACUGCCGAUGAUAAGUCGGAGGAAGGUGUGGAUGACGUCAAGUCCUCAUGGCCCUUACGGGUUGGGCUACACACGUGCUACAAUGGCGGUGACAAUGGGUUAAUCCCAAAAAGCCGUCUCAGUUCGGAUUGGGGUCUGCAACUCGACCCAUGAAGUCGGAAUCGCUAGUAAUCGCGUAACAGCAUGACGCGGUGAAUACGUUCCCGGGUCUUGUACACACCG